rnacentral:lncRNA from 1 species
AUCCACAUCGUUCCCCAUUGAGCAAUAAAAUGCGGUUCAAUUACGCGAGGACUCUCGUUUACAAAAGUUAUAGCACCGGUUACAUGAUAUAAAACCUUGACCUCCCUGUAUUCUUCCCAAGGCAUUGGCAUGUUCUCAAGCAAUUUUAGCACAGCAUGUGGCAAGUACUUCAAAGCGCCCAAAUAGGAACGUUUAUCAGCACGAAACUUCCUAGAAGACAUAUCUCCCCUGUCUUUCAUAAUUUUGCGCAGGUGCUCAGGCGGAAGAUCAGCUUUCUCUGUUUGAACAUAACCCUGCUUCCUUUUGACACCAAACUUUGAUUUUUGAGAAGCGCGCCAUUUGCGUGCUCUUUCGUUAAGUUGCUUUUCAAGAUUUCCAGACUGUGCUGGAGUCUUGUUUUUUCUUUUCUUCACAUAACCUGGAGGUGGAGGAGGUGGAGGCUGUGAAGGAGGCUCAAAUCCAGGCGGAGGAGGCGGUGGAGGAGGAUUCCCCGGUGGUAACGACGCCAUUUAGGUAAUGGUAUUUGUCAGCUGAAUUGUGGUAGUGAAUAUUACUUUGUAUGGUGGUGACCCUCGCCAUUAUUUGUGCGUAAUAUUCUUUUGUGCGUUUUAUUUCAUAUUAGGUCUAUGUAGUCUUCUGCUCAUAAUACGUGUUUAAUGUAUAUUUUUUUACACGCUAUACGGGAUUUGAAAAUUCAAAUUUUCUUCGUUAAAAUGCAACACGCUUAAGAAGUUUGUCAACCAAACACCUACCCAUAUCCAAAGGUUAAUUUGAACAUAAUCAUGCUCAAUCGAAUCGCCUUAUAAGAAUUAGUAAAGAUGUAUGUAUUGACAUAAAUUACAUUUUGUUAUAAAAAAGUGUUAUUUGUAAUUAUAAACCUUUAACUAAUUCAGAAAGUAUAAAUUACCAAGUACAACUAGUAUGCAUAAACCAAAAAUUCCUAUUCCUUGAUUUAGUGUUUCAGGUUCAACGGCUUUAGUUGAAAAAAAAAAUUUGAAAAAUAACACCGAGUUAAAUAAGAUUUGUACAGUAUAAGUAAACACAAGUAGUGAUAAAAAAACCCCCCACACUAAGUGAAUGAAAUGGGAAAACUGUGCAAAUUAUCAGAAUUAAAGGGGAGAAAAUAUCACAUAGUAUACAUAUUUCGCCAAAAGAAUAUGGACAAGUAUUAAUGUGCAAAGAUAUUUGACGGUUUUAAGUUAAUUCGAAUUAAAUCAUUGGGUAGUUAAAGAGACGGAAAAAUGAACAAAGUGAAACGUCUCAUGAAUAAAAUUUGGAGAAAAUCAAAUGUAAGAACAUAUUGGUGUUUAAUUUGAGACGGCCAUCCAAAACAUCCAAAGUUAAAACCUUGUUAUAUUGAGCAGACAACAAGUCGUCCAAAUGCAAUUCACACCUUGGGCUCGAAACUUUAACUGUCGGGCUUGUUGCUUCCAGAAUAAAUUUGCCAACUUCAUCGGCUGAUAUAGUAAUAUACAAUUUUUCUUUCUGCGGCAUAUGAGAUAUUGAUACCAAAACUCCUCGGUCAUAGAGUUUAAGAGCUGGGUACUUGAACGACCCAAAGCGAGGAACGCGUCCAGAUUUUCGGAGAUCUCGCAUGUGAAAAUACUGUUUAGAAAAAGGAAUAAGCUUCUUCUUACCCUUCUUUGAUUGUAAUGUUUCCAUAGCUUGUUCAAUGUAUUCGUUAUAACUUUUUAGCUGCGAAUCAAGGAAAGCUCUUUUUUCUCGUAAGUUAAGCAAACUUUGAUGUCCCGCAUCAAGUUCACGCUGUCGUUGCAUCCUUCUUCUCGACUUAUUACGGAUAUCUAGAGCGAUAGAAUUUACCAUAUCUUGGUAAUUAUUCCGUCGGUUUGCAAAUCCAAGCUUUUCCAUUUCCACUAUAUUGCUUAGUGCAGUGUAUUUCAGUUCUGCAAAUGACAUUGAAAAGAUAGAAUCAUCAAACAAAUCAUAAUUCCUUGCAUUCUUUUCAGAUUCUUCUGCCAAUAAAUUUUGCCAUGCUGCUUCGUCUGAAUCUGUAACCGGUUUGACAAGUAUUUCCAAAAGAUUAAGGCCAUUUUGAAUUCGAAUAAUAAAUAAUAUAUAUCUCUUUGUCUGAACAAUAAGAGUCCGUUCCUGAGCAACGGGAUUUUCUAUAGUGCAAAAUUUGGGAUUCAAUUCUAGUUUGACGUCAGUUUCAUCUUGCACAAAGUCAUUGUCUUGCUCUGAAACAGGACCUAAGCUAUUGACAACAGCGCGUAAUGGAUCGUUCACAUCAGGAGGAGCAAUACUAUCUAUGACAUAUGCAAUAGAUGAAUAAAUGCCUAAAAUAUCGUCUCGCUUCAUGUAUAUUACUGGCCGCUUGGUAUUAACAAGGUCUUCAAAAGCAUCGAACUCAAAGUACACCUCUGGAUCAACCACAUCGACAAGCCUUUCUAGCAUCAACAUGGUAUCCUGCUUGGACACCUCAAUAAACUCGGAGAGUGGUCUAAAAAAACCAAGUUGCUUAGAGUCACAGGACUCGAUUGAAAAGAUCUCAGACAAAAUGCUUGACAAUGUGUAAAGGUUUUUUCGUUGAAGAGCUGUAAUAGAGCCAUCAACCAACUUGAAGUUAU